CCUACGGGCGGCAGCAGUGGGGGAUAUUGCACAAUGGGGGGAACCCUGAUGCAGCGACGCCGCGUGGGUGAAGAAGCGCCUCGGCGCGUAAAGCCCUGUCAGCAGGGAAGAAAAUGACGGUACCUGAAGAAGAAGCCCCGGCUAACUACGUGCCAGCAGCCGCGGUAAUACGUAGGGGGCAAGCGUUAUCCGGAUUUACUGGGUGUAAAGGGGGCGCAGACGGCGAUGCAAGCCAGGAGUGAAAGCCCGGGGCCCAACCCCGGGACUGCUCUUGGAACUGCGUGGCUGGAGUGCAGGAGGGGCAAUCGGAAUUCCGUGUGUAGCGGUGAAAUGCGUAGAUAUACGGAGGAACACCAGUGGCGAAGGCGGAUUGCUGGACAGUAACUGACGCUGAGGCGCGAAAGCGUGGGGAGCAAACAGGAUUAGAUACCCCAGUAGUC
rnacentral:rRNA from 1 species